UGCGGGAGCGAGCUUGCUCGCGAGGGCGUCGGCAGAUUCAGCAUUGAGGCAAGCUGAUCCACCGCCAUCGCGAGCAAGCUCGCUCCCACA
rnacentral:misc_RNA from 1 species